GAUGAACGCUGGCGGCGUGCCUAAUACAUGCAAGUCGAGCGAACAGAUAAGGAGCUUGCUCCUUUGACGUUAGCGGCGGACGGGUGAGUAACACGUGGGUAACCUACCUAUAAGACUGGGAUAACUUCGGGAAACCGGAGCUAAUACCGGAUAAUAUUUCGAACCGCAUGGUUCGAUAGUGUAAGAUGGUUUUGCUAUCACUUAUAGAUGGACCCGCGCCGUAUUAGCUAGUUGGUAAGGUAACGGCUUACCAAGGCGACGAUACGUAGCCGACCUGAGAGGGUGAUCGGCCACACUGGAACUGAGGCACGGUCCAGACUCCUACGGGAGGCAGCAGUAGGGAAUCUUCCGCAAUGGGCGAAAGCCUGACGGAGCAACGCCGCGUGAGUGAUGAAGGUCUUCGGAUCGUAAAACUCUGUUAUUAGGGAAGAACAUACGUGUAAGUAACUGUGCACGUCUUGACGGUACCUAAUCAGAAAGCCACGGCUAACUACGUG
rnacentral:rRNA from 1 species